AUUGAACGCUGGCGGCAGGCUUAACACAUGCAAGUCGAACGAGUGGCGGACGGGUGAGUAAUGCUUGGGAAUCUAGCUUAUGGAGGGGGUUAACUACGGGAAACUGUAGCUAAUACCGCGUACCAUAGGAUGAGCCCAAGUGGGAUUAGGUAGUUGGUGCGGUAAAGGCUCACCAAGCCGACGAUCUCUAGCUGGUCUGAGAGGAUGACCAGCCCAACUGGGACUGAGACACGGCCCAGACUCCUACGUGAGGCAGCAGUGGGGAAUAUUGCGCAAUGGGGGCAACCUGACGAAGCCAUGCCGCGUGAAUGAAGAAGGCCUUCGGGUUUUAAAGUUCUUUCGGUAGCGAGGCGUUAACUACAGAAGAAGCACCGGCUAACUCCGUGCCAGCCGCCGCGGUAAUUC
rnacentral:rRNA from 1 species